GCGGACGUGGUGCGUGGUACACCGCUGCAUUUCAUUAAGGGAAUCCAAAUAAAGUUGAAGCAGUCGCUGGGGUUCGACUCCCCACGUCCGCA